rnacentral:rRNA from 1 species
CCUGAUGACCAUAGCGAGUUGGUCCCACCCCUUCCCAUCCCGAACAGGACCGUGAAACGACUCAGCGCCGAUGAUAGUGCGGAUCCCCGUGUGAAAGUAGGACAUCGUCAGGC